GACGAACGCUGGCGGCGUGCUUAACACAUGCAAGUCGAACGGAAAGGCCCCUUCUGGGGUACUCGAGUGGCGAACAGGUGAGUAACACGUGAGUAACCUGCCCUUGACUUCGGGAUAACUUCAGUAAACUGGGGCUAAUACCGGAUAGGAAUCCUUGCUGCAUGGUGGGGGUUGGAAAGCUUCGGCGGUUUUGGAUGGACUCGCGGCUUAUCAGCUUGUUGGUGGGGUAGUGGCUUACCAAGGCUUUGACGGGUAGCCGGCCUGAGAGGGCGACCGGCCACAUUGGGACUUAGAUGAGGCCCAGACUCCUACGGGAGGAAGCAGUGGGGAAUAUUGCACAAGGGGCGGAAGCCUGAUGCAGCAACGCCGCGGGCGGGAUGACGGCCUUCGGGUUGUAAACCGCUUUCAGCAGGGGCGAAGCUUGUGGUGACGGUACCUGCAGAAGAAGCACCGGCUAACUACGUG
rnacentral:rRNA from 1 species